GGGACGAUGUUGCCCGCCGAACGCCUGCCCUGGCUCCCUGAAAGCACCUCAGAGCUGCCCGCGCCUUCCUCUGAGGGAAACGGCGCAGGGCUCUGCUCGCCGCAAGGAGGGGGCAGGUGCCUGUGGGGUGACCCAGCUCGGGGAAUGUCUGUGGAGCAUCCCUGGGGAUCUUCUAAAUCCGUUGGACAGUGAGCAGCCGGCUGUGGGUAGCUUUGCUUGAGCAUGGAGGGCUAGAGAAGUUGACCUCCAGAGAGGCCGGCUUCCCAACAGCACAAGGUCGGAGCAGCCUAGUUGAUGACCUAGUAAGAGCCAUGUGCAAGCUUUCAUAAAGAUACGAGUCUCCAGUCCUACGACCUUGCAUAUUCCAGUGCAUCCCAGCUUUCCAACAAAGGGCAGUUGCUGCUGUUUCCUCUUUACAGCACAGUGCAUUUUCAGGUCAUAAUCCUCAGAUGAAACCACUCCCACUGCCUGGGAGCAAUUUGUAAUGACACUCCUGACACAUCAAAGUGCGCCUUAAGAAUAGAUGAGGCUGCUCUGUGAAGCACUGGGUUAAAAAAGUACAAGGUGAUUGACUCAUUCGUGGUCCAUGGCUGUACAAACACUUCUAAAUUGCUUCCGGCCAAUGUUCUAGCACCUUUACCAUAGAAACAAGAGGUAGCAUGGCAAGCCAAGCUGUCCUUCAAGAGUCUCAUCAAAUGAAAACAUAGCUGUGAAAAUGUGUACACAAAAGCAGUGUUUGUAAAGGGUUAUAUUGUUGCACUUCUGCAGUCUCUUGCUCCUGUUUGUGUACCAAGCUUUGGUGAA